rnacentral:lncRNA from 1 species
CACCGUCGAACCACCUCGCCGGCCAUGCCGCGGAAGGAUAAGGCCUCCACCGAGGCUCCACUCCCCCCAGAUAUUUUCUUCCCACUCGCCUCACUCCUCCUCGGCGCCCUCCCUCCCAGAUCCACCUCUCCCCCUCUGCCGAUCUGGAGGAAGGGCCGAACGCCACGGUCGCCGCGCCUUCCUCGCUGCCAUGGCCAUCGUCCUCCUCUGGUCGCGCCACCGUGCAAUCCACUCCGUCGGCCUCCUCUGCGUCGACUACGGCGGCCAUCUCAAGCUGGGAGGCACUGCUGCGCCGGAUCCUUGUCGUCUUCAACCUCGAGCGCCCACGGUAGCCGCCGCAAUCUUCGUCGAUUCGCGACCACGAGCGCCUCCCCGAGCAAGUUGAACUCCUCUACGUGAUCCCUGUGAGCUCCCCUUCACUUCCCCCUUGAUCCCCUUCUUGCGGGCAUCCUCUAGCCAUAGACACCCUCCGGCCGAAGCUCGUCGUCCGCCAUGGCCGGAUCCCCGCUCCUCGCGCGUGCUCGCCCGCUGUUGUCGCGCGUCCAUCGCGCCCAGGGCCUGUCCCGGCGUGCCCACGCCUUGCUGGCCGCGUGCUGGCUCAGCCUCCCGCGCCGCAGCCGCCCGCGGCCCUGUCGUUGCUCUGCUGCUCUUUGUACUGCUACUGCUCUUGCGUACGGCCCUGUCCUCGCCACCGCUCACUCCUGCUCCUUGUGCUGCUCUACUACUAGCCGCUGUCGCUGUGUAGUGCAGCUAGCUACUGCCGCUUCCACUGCAGAAUUGCUGCUGCCGCUCUUGUCCAUGGCUGCCAGGCCCCUGUUUGUGUGUGUGUAUGGACGGUUGGGACUCUGGAUGAGACCGGCCCUGUUUAGGUUAGUAGCUAAUCUCUACUCCUAACUAGUAUAACGCCCGUGCGUUGCCACGGGCUCUUCAAAAUUUAUAAUCAGUAUCUUUCAUUUGUCAUCCCCUCAUAUUGGGUGAUUAUGGGGUGCUCUAAUUAGAAACACAACAAUCAAAUAUUAGGAAAUUUCACCGAACGAACAACAACGAAUAAUACGAUAUCUAUCAAACGAAUAAAAUGAGGUCAUAUUUUUGGUCCGUCAUGCACUUCUGUUGAAAAGUGCCUAUCCCUUUUAGAAUCAACCCACUGUUUGCUCGCACGCAAAAAAAAUACAUCUCUAAAGUGGGGAACCGAUCGGUGCCAAAAAGAACUCAAACUCCUAUCCAAUCUCGACUUCGUGCUCUUCCACUUCCAUUGAUAAAGAUGGGACGUCAAGGGUUUCAUCAUGAUGACCUCGAGCAGCCGCCGACAUCCCUCCCCACAUCUACCCCUACCCCCUGCUGCCGCUUGCACUGUCCUUGCUCGUCGAGGGAGCUAGGGACACAAUGUUCUCUAGGAUGGGCAUGACCAGAUCCACGAGGAGGCCACAUUCUUCCAUGGGAACCCAACCAAGCACACCACCCUCCGCAACCAUCCAAUCCCAGCCUAACAAAGUCAAGACCCGCCAUCGAUCCACAAAUCAGGCUCGCCGCAUCCAGGUUCACUGCAAGUCUGCGACGAGUCUGUAGUCGACAUCUUGACUUUGGCUAUCCCCACGGAAGAAUCAUCGGAUCCUGCUUACUUUUACCAUCACUUCGUCUCUUCCCAAGGCAGCGACACCACCCAGCCAAUCACCACCACCGCUUGCGGCUUGCCUACAUAAAAUCAUAUGAGAAAUCCCCACGGCGGUGCUGUAAGAUCACCUUGGCGACCUCGACAGUGACCGACUGGUCUAAGAUCUAAGCUAGCCGCUCUUUGUAGAAACCAAUAGAAGUAGGCAUGUGACUCAGAUUUGUUCUUUGGUGUGCAUGCGUUUCUUGCUGCCCACCAGCUCUUGUCUACAACUCGCCUAUAUCUGUACCAGCUCUUGGUCUACAACUCGCCUAUCUCCAUGCUCGAGAAUCUGGAGUGUAGUAGUUAAAAAAAAGACCAACUUUAUACUCAUUUGAUAAUUCAACGUGCAUGGGCAUGCACCGGAUGGAAUUCACGCUCUAUGUAAAAUCUGGAGUGUAAUGACCGUGGUUGAUGAAUGAAAGUCUUAUUUCCGCAAAAAAAGAAGUUAAAGGUGAAUAUAUUCCUCAUGUGUAGAGUACAAACAGAGCAUAUAGUGGUGACCUAGUUUCUUUUGAUUGAGGUGAAUACAUGCCAGUACUAAAAUCUUCUAAUUUCUUUUGAUUGAAUCCAAGUUGUCUCUUUUCUUUCGAUUCAGCAAAGCUAGUUCGAAUAAAUAGGAUUGUCUAUAUCUUAACUCCUUUGCCAAUUAAGCUUCAAAAUUGCAGUUUGAUUCAGAAACAAUCGAACGAUUGUGUCGUUAACUCCAGGAGAUUCUCGUUAGAUCUUAGGAACGCUGCAAGCCAUCAUAUCAUAUAAGAAUAAGAUCGACAAUUGAUAUGGACAGAUCUUACUACAAUCAUAUUACUACUACUCGCACACUGAUAUGGACAGAUCAUACAAGAUCGAAGGUACGUAAGACAAGGUCCUCUAGAUUACGAAAAACUGUUUGCUUCGCCUCAUGUGAGACGGACCCCGAGCUAUUCUUCAAUGGCGCACCGCGCGCACAUAUUUGGCGGCGAAGUAACUCGUUAUCCUAAGGACGUCCCCGUCAAGCCCGUCGACAGCGUCACCCUUUUCCAUCUCCCCGGCUGGACCUCGCCGAGUUUCCACCGUUGACGGCCUGCCGCCGCCGCAUUCUGCUGCACGAAGGAGAUCAACGACGGUUUAGACGUGCACGGGUGCAGCAGAGCAGAUCGACCGACGGAUCGGUUGACAACACGUACCGUCGCAGGCCGCGUGGCCGUGGUGGGGGGCGGCGGCGCUCGAGGUGCCCUGCGCCUCGCAUUCGCAGGGCGAGAUGGCGCUCAUGGCGCUGGUGCCGAUCUCCUCCUCCGGACGAACGAGGAGCCAGCCGUCCAAGCUGGGCGAGGGAGGCAAUGGCGGCCUGCAGCGCUGCCGGCUCGACUCCUUGCAGUAGGCGAUCGCGCUCGCGACGGCCUCCUCCCUCGCCCGGGCGGUGCCGUCCUCGCCGGCGGCGACCCUCCCGUCCGGCUUCAUCGCCUGGCCCUUCCGUCUCCCGCGCCCAUCUGGCCGCUCGUCCGCAGCACCGGCGCGCUGCAGAUUUCUGGCAAACCUGCGCAGGCACCGCCUUAGCGCGUGGCCCUUCCGUGCGGCCGUGUCACCGCCCUCCCUCACCGGUGAGCGCGCGCUGUUCGACGAGCUGCUUCGGGCGCCGAGCAAGGAGGAGGAGGGGGACGACCUCGACGCCGGGGAGGAGCCCGGGUCGGAGGCCACCUUAGCGUCGCCAGGGGCGAACGCCGGCGACGAGGAGCUGCCCUGCUCAACGCUCGAAGCGCCGUCCGUGGUCGCUGCCGUCGCCACGGCCGGCGCCAUCGCCGCCCACACGGCGCACGGGAACAUCCACGCCAUGACGACCUGGAAGAAAUGCAUGGUGAUCAGGAGCACCGCCUUAGCGCGUGGCCCUUCCGUGCGGCCGUGUCACCGCCCUCCCUCACCGGUGAGCGCACGCUGUUCGUCGAGCUGCUUCGGGCGCCGAGCAAGGAGGAGGAGGUGGACGACCUCGACGCCGGGGAGGAGCCCGGGUCGGAGGCCACCUUAGCGUCGCCAGGGCCGAACGCCGGCGACGAGGAGCUGCCCUGCUCAACGCUCGAAGCGCCAUCCGUGGUCGCUGCCGUCGCCACGGCCGGCGCCAUCGCCGCCCACACGGCGCACGGGAACAUCCACGCCAUGACGACCUGGAAGAAAUGCAUGGUGAUCAGGAGCACUGGGGUUUGCUUGCAGGCCCUUGUGCACGUAGUACAUCCUUGUAUAUAUAUACACGUCGCGAUUGCGAUCGCGUUCGCCUCCGACUCCGGCGGUGGUUGCAGGGGGGGCACGGCGGCGUCUGCGGGCGCGUGAUUUCCGAAAUCCGAGAUGCCACAGCGAGAUUGCCAAAAUCCUGUGGCUAAUCUAUGGAAUACUCCGGCGGUUCCUUCCAUAUACGGAACUAAUUACUGCACGGUUUAAUUACUCGAUCGCUGAUUUAUCGGAUGAGCUAGUAAUGCGGACGGAUCGCUGAUUUAUUACCAUAUUCGAUAUUUCCCGAGUUAUGGCCUUACCAUACCUGGAUUGAUAGCCUUUGGGGUAAUUUAAAUUUAUUACCAUAUUCAAAAUUUCCUGAGUUAUGACCUUACCAUACCUGGAUUGAUUUAUUACUAUACGUGGAUUAAUUAUGAUUUAUUACUAUAUGAUUUAUUACUAUACGUGGAUAGCCUUACCAUACCUGGUGGUAAUUUAAAUUUAUUACCAUAUUCGAUAUUUCCCGAGUUAUGGCCUUACCAUAUCUGGAUUGAUAGCCUUUGGGGUAAUUUAAAUUUAUUACCAUAUAAUUGCCAUAUUCAAAAUUUCCUGAGUUAUGACCUUACCAUACCUGGAUUGAUUUAUUACUAUACGUGGAUUAAUUAUGAUUGAUUACCAUAAAUACGUUGGGUAUUGCCGGUCAGACGAGAAAAGAGAAAAACCGGUGGGAGGGGCUGGUGGGAGGUGGGACGAAGAAAAACCGGUUGAAAAUAAACCGGUUGAAAAUAAACCGGUUGAAAGUGGGGGGGACUAUUCAACCAAUUCGUCCAUUAGGAGUAGAGAUGGAGCAGUUGGUGAAUAGUCCGCGCGGUUUAUUUUCGCUGGUUUAUUUUCGUCAUCCUUCCAUCAUCGGUUUUUUUCGUCAUCCUCCCACCUCUGCUUACUCGCUGCCCUCCAUCGAAAUAAACCGGUGCCAAAAAAAUCCGUCGUUCUAUCCUACGAUCUCUCAAGGACGCCCCAACCCCCAAUACGAGCCGCCGCCGAGAUCCAAGACGAGCCGCCGCGGAGGACCGAGUGGAGCCGCCGCCGGCGCUGGCCAGGCUCCCCACGAUGUGCGCGCCGGGGCGCCGCUCCCGCUCCCGCAGCCGAGCAUAGCAGCAGCGGCGGAACCCCGCCGCCGGCGAGCUCUCUCUGGCGGAGGAGGGCGGGGGCGAGCUCGCUGUCUCCCUCGCGCUCAACACCAGCGGGACGCAGGCUUCGACGUGGCCACCUACAUAGGCGCGCUCCAGGCAAGGCGCUUCGGGAGGUGGAUUCUUUGGUCGCCGCGGAUGGCAUCCACGCACGACCUCGUGACACAGUGAGUGCAAGAUUUUGUUCUUUUCAGUCUCGCUCCAUCAGAAAAAGAAAGAGACGAUGAAUUUCCUCUUGAAAUCACUCAAAUUGGGCUUACUCUUUGCUUCCCCUCUGCCUGCAGGAAACUUUGCCAAACUUCUGGUGGGCGUCGUGUGCACCACAGACGCGCAGUUCAAAGGCAGAGGUGCGUCAAAUAUGUAUGCCAAUUGGUGCUUGUUUUGUUGUCCCUUUUAGUGUGUCUCUCUGAUGAUUUUUCAAUUCAAUGUCUGUCACUUUGGUGGGUAGAUGAAUUGUGUUGUUCUGUUUGUUGUAUGUUCAGUUGAUGUUACUGAAGAUCUGAAGUUGCUGCAUGCUGUAUGGGAUAAAUAGUUCAAGAAAUAGCAAAUUUGUUGAGUGGAUUUGCAUCUGUUACACCUUAAUAUGGUAUAAAUUUUAUUUUGUGAUGUUAGUAGAGGAAAACUAUGCUGGAUAUAUUUGCUUUGUUAUACUGAUAUUGUGCCUAUUCACUUUGUUUCUUAUGUCCUGCUUCAUUUUUCUUUCUGUAAUUGUGUAGCUCAUCUCCAGGCUCGUGGAGAUGCUAUUUUUCUAUCACCCAAAUGAAAUGAACAACGCUUCAUUUGACUUAUUUAUUGUAUUUUGAUAGGUAUGAUUGGAAUAAUCAACUUUUGAUGUCAGUGCAAAGCACAUCAAUGCCUUUUGUCCAAUUACUAGAAGCUGUGGCUUGUUUGAUAAAUCUUAAACUGUCGUGGAACUGCAAAGUAGUUGGGUAUCUUCAGCAGAAAAAGAUUUAUUGCUUAUUUCGGGGAAUUAUCAGUGCAGUACCGGUAUGUUCUAUUCCAGUAUUGGCUGAUAUUUUGUUGUUACCAGCGUCUCUACUUUUUUAGGGAACUUAUUGACCACAAUAUAUAAUCAUUGAAUAAGUCUUCUUUCAGUUGAAGGAAUAUGCCUGUAUCAAUACUGUUCUUGUGAUCAUACAUACCGGCCUUUUCCAUGAUCAAUAUGCUCACAUAGUUCUUUAUCACUCGCACAUAUCUGUAUACAUCCUACUACAAGGUGUUGUUACUAUCCCGAUAUACAACAUAAACUAAUACAAUAUAUUCCUUUAUCACUUUGGCUAUACUCAUCUCGUAGUUCUAAGAUUCUUCUCCGAAGCAAUUACAACUUUACAAGGCAAUGAACCACAAGAUGGAAAGUGAAACUUGAAUACAAAGAGAAAACAUUUAGUUUUUAUUUAGUAUUUGUCUUUAAAAACUCAAAGCGACAAACUUCUAUUCCCUUGGCAAACAUAAAGAAAGCAUGGCAACAGCUAUUAUUAGCUUGGUUCUGAUUUGCAUUCGUUGGUAUGUCCAAGUGCAGUAGCGUUUAGUUAUUCUUCUUUGAUUUGUUUUGUGAUGGAUCUGAUUGUUAUCCAGCAAAAUGCAAGAAAUAUGGAGCACUGUGAUAUAUCUGCUAUGGAGCAAGUUCUCAUGCUUACUGCUUCACAUGUUGGUGGUAAUCAAUGUUGUUGUCCAGCUGUGGAUCCAAGUUGGAGUUUUUCCUUGCAGCUUCUAUCCAUUCUUUUGGCAUCGUUUGCCAAACUUCAAGAAGGUGAGCUGUUUCCAUGAUUUCUUGUUCGAUAUAUCUUUUUUCCUCAAGACAAACUUAUGCAUUGAGAACAUAUAAACUGCAAAAUGUUUUGUUUGAUGCUGCAAAUACGACAACUGCCAUUGCAUCUGAAUUAGACUGUCUCCGAAUAUGAAGCUUUAUUAUGAAUUUUUACAAUUUCUCCAUUAGAAACUUCUUCAAGGGGUGAUGUGCUUUAACUAAUUAUUUCAAUGGAUGUAUCUUUGAUCAUUCUUAUUGCUUGUUACUCCAGGUUUUCUAUGCUAAUGGGCUCAGCAAAUAUUAUACCCAUCAGAUAGCUUGCUAUUUGCCCAGUCGUGCUGAUGUUCUCCCUAAUGAUAUAUCAGCUAAACAGCCAGGAUAUGCAUGUGUUCUUGCAAAAGUACUCGAAGCUGCACCUUGGAUUUUGUCCGAACCAAAGUUCGCUUCUGAUAGAGUACGUGUCUACUGCUUCUACCUUUCGAGUUGUACAUCAUUUUGUUUAGUUAGCGGGUAACUGACGAUAUUAAAGAAGGGAAAAUGUUUAAAAAGAUAGUAUCAAUUAGGUUCCUGUACAUGAAAACAUUCUUUGCAAGUCGUGGUCUACUUCCAAAAGCAUUACGUAGGUUGGUUAGGCCCCAGUGUUUGCUUUUACACAACUAUUUUUUCUUUUCGAAUUUUUGAGCCAAGGCUGGAAGUUUGAGUCGGCAGGGAAAUUUAUUUGCACCAUGACAAUUGCUAUCCUAUUUUCCUUCUCGAGUUAUCAUUUAUGAGAAUGAUUAUGUUACAUGAAUUAUGCACUUUACAUAUAUUUUUGCUGCCGUCUAUUCUUCAUACAAGUGGGAUUGAUGUGGAGUGGAAAAUGUCAGUGACAUAAUGGAAAAGCUUCCACGUAACUAAAAGUUGUCAUACUGCAGAUAUUUCCUGAUAUUUUUGUGUCAAAGUUGCAGCAAGGCUUUUAUAGGUUCUAGCUCUUAUUAUGUCAACUGUAAAGCUUGUGUUGCACUGCAAAUCCUUAAUUGACCAUAUAUGUUGUUCAUUAUAUAUGUCUCUUCAAUAUUCUCUUGUAAUCUUUUAUGCUGGUUCUUUUGAUAUAUAUGAUGAGCAUUUAUUUGUGUCAAAGGAUGGCCAAGCAAAUGUGUUUCUCUGCUUGUUGUGGUGCUUUACAUGUAUGUAUAUAUCGUUGACAUUUCGUUUUCACAUAUGUAAUGUUAUGGUCCAUCUGAUGUAUCCGAAUCCGAUGAACGACGGUUAGAAAAGUAGUCAAUUGUUGAGAAAAUAAUGACCCAUGGCAUGUAUGCGAUGAACAGGUUUUCAAAUUUUGUCUUUGCUGAAAAGUGUAGUUCCACAAAAAGAUGAUUUCUACCAUUUGUAGAUCCUCUGACUGUAGUUUGACAACUUCAACCAAGCUUUUAUUUUAGUUAUUUCCACCUUCUAUGGUUCUAGAAAUUCAUUGUUUUUGUAUGCUUAAUUGAGCAGAGCUUGUUAAUAGUGAUCUUUUGCCAAUGACUUUGCAGGAAGAUCAAAGAAUGUGUGGGGGAAUCAUCUCCAGGUUGUCUCAUGUUCUCGUUUACAUCACAGAUGAAUGAUGCUCGCAUGCUUCCCCUUAUGCAAUAUGUCGUUUUCCUUGCCAUGACCGAAGCCAUCAAAGAUUUGUGUUGUGCUAAGGUGAGGGUUUAUGAAGUACUAUUAUAUUCGGUGUUUCUUACGCAUAUGUGAUGUUCACUGAUUGCAGUAUGAUAUUUCAUAAGGCUAAUUUCCUUGUCAUGACAUCCUGUACUAUCUAUGUGAUAACACCCAGGGACUUCCAGAGCUAGAUGUAAGGAUAAAGUGGCCUAAUGAUCUAUAUCUGAAGGGUUAAAAGUUGGUGGCAUUCUUUGUACCUUAUCAUAUGAGCCGAAAGUCUACAAUAUUUGCACUGGUAAGUAUGUUCCAAAUGGUGUUGACGCCAGCAGUAUAAGAUGAUGACGCUGUUCGUCCCAGAUAGUUCCAACCGCUUUGAUAGUUCCCAUCUCUACCCAUGUUUCUAUGCAUUAGGAGUAGAGACUCAAUGUUUCACAGUUGAGUUGCAUUUUGUUUUGGAUUCGGUACAAUCGUCAUCACACUCUCUUUCUCAAGAACGCUGUCCUCUUCUAGCCACUCAUCGACCGUAACCCUACCCGGCGAGAUUGCCGUGAUUUUCUGAUGGUGAUGGUGAUGGUCUGAUGGAUCUAGGAGGAUUGACAGUUUGUAGCAAUAUUGUAGAAUGAGAUGUUUAUUUCAUUUUAUUUGAAAUGGAUGAGUGCUCUGCAUAUUUGUUAGGAGAGAAUCCAGGUUUAAAACGUCCAUUGCCGGAGAUGUCAAGAUUUUUUAGUAGUUGAUGCAAAGGAGGAGGACUUGUUGGGUUGUGGUGAUGUCCCCGGCCUAAUUGAUGGAGAAGCAAUCCCUCAUCUCAAUGGUCGAUAGUCCUGUGAUAAAUUUCUCAUCGGUCACAUAGAGCUUGAAAAAAUCAUCUCCAUGCAUGUAUGAAAUCCCAAUGACAGUUGCAAAAUAAAAUUGAAAGUUUGGGAUGAUGAUCUAUGAUAUUUAUUACUGAUUGAUAGAGCUGACAUGUGAUUUAACAAGUAAUGAGGGUAGUUUAGGCUUCAUUAUCUUUAAUAAUUUUUGGCUUGGCCGUCAGGGUACUGCAAUGCUAUGGGUUGAUAAAGAAAGAAGGGAAAUAAACGAGAAAGCAAGACAAAAUUGGCAGAAUCACGACAAAGGACGUACCCUGCAGUGAAUUGAGAGUCGCUACUGGAAUAUUUCUUUUUGGUAAUAUUUUUUUGGGACUCCAAUUUGUUCACUUGAUGUUGAUGGGUGUUUUCGAGGGAUCUCAUACUGUUUUUCUGCCAGACCGCAUACAUCCUGAGACUCUUGUUUUGGACCUUCACGCUGUUCACUAGAUGGUUUUUCUAGGUUCUGCCGCCGAAGAUGAAGAGAGUGCUCCUGUGUUUCUUCGGAGCGAAAUGGAAGAGUUGCCUCAACGUAUCUAAGGUAACAAUCUUAUGCAUCCCCUUCUUCUUUGUGCUACCUGUCAAGAUUUAGAUGCUGCAAUUCUUCAGUUUAGAGCUGACUUAAUUAGAUGAUAGAACUGAUUUACUAAAUUGCUGGCUGGUGCAUAUAUUUCACAGUAGAAAAUGUUGGUUGUGUUCAUGUCAACGUAAUGAUGAACAACAUCAGCGCCAUGAUUUUGCCUUGCUCGAGCUUUGGUUUGUGACUAUAUAAGAUAGCAUAUCUUUGCAAUCAGUAUAAUCUAGCUAGCCAGUUUGGAGCACAAUAUUGUCACUGUAUAUGUCAAGUUUGACAGUUGCUGCCUAUUUCUAGCUAGAAGUUGGUUCCUGUAAGCAAGAGUGGUGAUCUGGAGUACUUUUACCUUGAUGUUUAUCGGAAAUAAGUUCACCUCCUCCUAAAUAGGCUGGGCUAUUUCCUGUCUUCUUGGUCGAUCGAUGGUUCACUGUAAUACUCGUUAGCUGUUCGGACCAUGUCGCCUUUUAACUUGUGAUGCUUGUGUGGCGGUACUGUUUCAUUAUCUUGUGAAAUAGUACAGGUGCUUAUUUAAUUUGUCUACCAGGUGUCCAGUUCUUAAUGUGAUCUCCUUUUUCUUGAGUAGUUAUUGCUACGAUCCUAUUUGUUAGUUCAUCUUGGUUUGGUCUGUUAUGCAACCUUUGCUCGGAAUUGUGAAUGCGGACAUAUGCAAAUCACUGCAGCCAACGACACUGAACUUGUUUGGCAAUAAAGAAACAACGAUGAUGUUUCUAACAAGUUUCCUUGCUUAUCUAUAAUAGUACUAGAAAUCGUCUGUUCAUGAGUGUCAGUUGGAUAUACUACCCAUCAGGAGACGUAAUCCAGAUUGUUAGCUUCCCUGACAUCUUCAUACAUUGUAGCACCACAUAACAUCUUCAUACAAUCAGAAUCCUUGGUCUGAUUAUAAAUACAGAGAUCUUGUGGUAUCUCACCAGCCACCAGGUGACCUGACUGGUCCAUCCAUCUUCGGCCCAUCAAGUUGCAUCUUGCGUGUCACAUCAGAUUCCUCUUGCUUUUGUGUUUAUUACUAUUUGAUUUAAUCUAAAACUAGUCCUGUACCUCUUGAUGUAGCUCUAACAAGGCCAUGAAAUAACUCAUACAAUUUCUUCAUUGUAAUUUUCCCUUUGCAAACAGUCUACAGCCUCUGAAGUUGAACGAAGCUUAAGUUUGUUCUCUUUUUAAUUCUGUAUUUUGUGCUCUUAAUAUUCCUUUAAAUAUACCUGAUCGUUGUUGUUUAUGGAAGGGAAAAGUCUCUUUGUUUGCUGAGACGAAUUUUGUUUUCCUCCAGGUCCCACUGAACCAGGUUGAGAAGUGGAAGAAGCAGAGGGAGAAUGAGACAUUUGUAGGGCCCCUCGAAAUCGUCUGUUUGAGAGUCUCCUCGGUUGCUUUCGUGUCUGCGCUACUACUGACUUGUAGUUGGAAUUUAUGCUCCUGUCAUGUACUCUCUUCCAACAUUCGCUGCAGAACAUCAAGUGAUGCUUUUCUCUAUGUUGCAUAAAUAGUUCAGCAUGCUUAUGUAUUCUCAGCAUGCUUAAAUGUACGCAUGUCUUGCCUGGGACUUGUGAAUGCCGAGAACCUACGAGACAUUUUUGGUUCUAAGUCAUGCUGAUGUGAGAGAAUAUGUUGUUGUUAUGUGACAGCGCAAUUAUGUGAUGAUAUAUUGAUUCCAAGUCAAGAGAAUUAUGUUGUUCAUGUGAAGAACCGUUGCAAGAUUAGAUUUUUAACUGCUUCACACCAUUUUAAUUCAAUAUGGCAAUCCGUUCCUGUCAAUCAUUAUUUUGUAUAGAGGGGGAUUUGAAGGAUGUGUGGCUGGAGGAGGAUUUGAGGUUUCAAGGGGAUUAGAUGGAAGAGGGGGAUUCACCAAAUCCCCUGGAAGCCUCACCUCCCAAAACCUCCAUAAUCCCUUGCUAUCAAACAAGGCCUUAAGGGAUCAUUUUAGUCCGUUCUGCGACCAAACCCGUUACAAACGGGCAGGAAAUGAUUCUUUUCUGAUCCACCUCGUUCUCUUUUCCAAUCCAUCCCCGAUUCUCUACUCCUAAUGUCUGACAUGGUAACCUUGCCUGCACGUUUUUUGUCUGAUUUUCUUCUUCUCACCUCUCAUUGGUUUUUGUCUCUUUAUAUUUACAAAAUAUCUGGGAGUCCAUACAUAGUUCGUUCACUCGACCCUCUCGCUCACACCCAUUUCUUUCCGACUUUCAAAGAAAAGUACGUCAAGCAUCAAGCCCACCGAUUUGUAUCCAAAGAAAGCACACCUUUCGGAUUUGGUUUUUACUCCUUUCGUUCCAAAAUAGAUGACUUAAUUUUAUACUAACUUUAGUACAAAGUUGGGUCAUCUAUUUUGGAACGGAGGGAGUAUUACCGAUUUUUCUUGCCAUAGAUAGUAGGCCAAAUCCCACCUAAUCAAUAUCUUCCUACAAAAAUUUCUUGCGCCCAUACAUUGAAUCCUGAAAUCCCGGACCCCACUUAUUUUUUAUUGAUCUGAUUCUGAAGACCACCUCUUUCUUGCGGCGGAGAGGCGCCAUACUUAACGCAGGUGAUGACAAAGUAUCUCAAGUUUGCAUGCCAAUGAUAUUUAUCGGACUUGAAAGGCGAUGCAUCCAUUCAAAUUGGGCAUCGCUUCUACAUGGCAUUCAGUGUAACCUGCCAAAUAUCUCCCAAGCAUAAAUGAUUAUUAUUUUGAAGUAUGGCACCCAAAUAAUUCAUCCAUGACAUGUCUUGAAAUUAAUUUAUUCUACUGAUUAUUCAGAACAUGAGUGUUAGAUUUUGUAGUCCAAAAAGAUGAUAAUGAAGUUAAGAGAAGAGAGUAUGCCUAGGAUCUAUGAACAUGAUGUGUGACAAGAGAUGGUAUGACUUCUUCAGAGAACAUCUUGAUACUUCUUUUUUCUUCAUAUAUGGCCAACCAUUGAUUAUUGUGGUGCGGAAGGUCGUGAGCACUAGAGAUUGUGGCACUAUUUAGAGGGUUGGGCGGCAACUCGGGUAGAGGGAGGUAGUGCAUGACAACAUUUGCUGACUGUUGAUGGUGGUGGCAAGUGGUUUCAUAGGUAGAGGUGGGCGGAUCAAUAGACUGGACAGAGAAAAAGGUAUGCAGAGGGAGGAAGAAGAGUAGUAGCAGCAGCGGGUGUUGGCGGCGGAGGAGAGGCAAGGGGCUAGCUGUCUUGAGUGCGGGGUGCGGGAGGUCGUGGGCACCAGAAUGGUGGUAGGUUUUAGAGGAACGACUGGCGUCAACAUUGACGGAGGUGGUGACUUGAGCAAGUGGCAACGUGUGGCAACACUCGCCGGCUGUAGGGUGGCGUUGGCAAGUGCUUAGGCAGGGAGAGGCGGGCGGGUCGAUGAAGUGGUCGAAUAAAAAAUCUGCGGCUACGGGAGGAAGACGAAGAAUUAUAGGCGGGUCAUCGUUGGAUGAGAAGGAGCAGGGGAUUAAUGGAUUCGAAGGCGGGGUACAUGAUAUCUCAGGUGGCGGAGAUGGUGGUGGUGUUUAGAGGGAUAGCCGACACAUCAUGUUACAGCAUUUCGUUUGCACCAUCCAUCCCGAACAAUCACGGAAAAUAGAAGAAAUUGGUGGAACUAUGUUAGAAAGAUCUAUUUGGGUGAAGAGAUGAGGAAUAAUGCAGUUCAUGACGGUCAUUUUCAUCGUCUACAUAUUGUCAGCCUUGUCGGCACAGGAACACAUAGAGUGAGGGGUGCGUGGGGUGAAAGAGUGAGAGGGCUGGUUGUGGUGAGAGAGUGACUGAGGUCAGAAUAAGGCUAGGCAGGUAAGCUAAAAAAACUGGAUAGACAACAUUGUUGAUUGUGAAAGAAUUUUUUAAGUGCAUCAAGUAAAUUUUAAUUUGUAACAUAUUUUUAGUUAGAUAAUCGCUCUAUAUGCAUACAUCGUCAAAUUGUUUUUUUAAUCAAUUUAUAUUGCAAGUAAAGUGGACUUCAAUUAUUACCCAAUUAUGCCCACGCUAUCUUUUCUCUACAUGUGAAAUUUAACUUGCGUUAUGUUUAUAUAACUUCGGCAAAAUAUUUCAAAAGCCCGUGGCAACGCACGGGCAUUAUACUAGUUGUAGUAGUUAGGCUAAUUAGUGGUUAGGUGUAGUGUAUAUGACACGUGGACCCUAUUGUUAGAUAAAAAGUUAAAUUAGAUUGAAAAUAUCUAAGCCUGUGACAUGUGGGUCACACCUCUCCUUUUGACUAGUCAAAUUGACAUGGUCAACUUGAAUUAAAAGUAAUUUAGAAAAUCUAAAAUAUUUUUGAAUUUAAAAAAUUCAUAGAAAAUAAUCCGUAACUCAGAUGAAAAAGUUUUAUAUAUGAAAGUUGCUCAGAAAAAUCCAACGAAUUCGGGUGCGUGUUCUGUUUACCUGCCAGAUGCCUCUAACUGUCUGAACAUGGAACAUUCCCCCUCUAGUCAUCUGUCUGACAUAGGUCCGGAAUCGGGAAAACAUUCCCGAUUCGAUUUCCCCCGUCACCUGUAUCGUGUAGCCAUACGUUAGGUCACACCUGGCACAACAUAUUGCCACGUUAUGCUUUGUGAUGCUAUCUUUGCUUUUUAUUUACUAUUUCUUCUUCCUCUUCUCUCCGGUAGACCCCGAGACCGAUGCUGCCCCUGUGACCGACCACGUCGACGAUGACCCCUCCUUGCCAGAGCAACCAGGCAAGGCCCCCUUUGAUCAUCCUGAUUUCGCCCUUUUCCUUUCUCUCAUGCUUGCAUUAGAUUUUGCUAUUGUAAUUGUUUGCUCCUAUUCUGAUGCAUAGCCUGCUUUUGUAUCUGCUAUUGUACCUUACCUGCUUAUCCUAAAAUGCUUAGUAUACGUUGGUUAGUGAUCCAUCAGUGACCCCCACCUUGUCCUUGUUGCCCCUGUUUCAUCAUCGAAGACCCGAUCAACGGGAUCGAAGACCAGGCCCCGGCACCGCACAUUACUUCCCUUAGUUGCUCGACACUACUAGGUUACUAUGGAGUGCCGAGGGUGAGACCUCUACAGCACUUCUGAUGUUAACCCUGUAGUGUAGCUAUUCGGUCGUGGUCAUCGAGGGUGAUUCCGCCUUAACCACUUCCGAUACAACUCUGUCAUGCAACCCCUCAAGUGUGAACCUCGGGGGUGAUUCCUCUUACGUUCACCUUGAUGAUUACAUCGAGUGGAAUUCACCGGGGGUGAUUCCUUGGGUUUUCCCCUUGAUGUUUAGACACACAAUUACUAUGAUUACUAUGACUUUACACUGAACCAUGUUACUAAAGACGGAUCGACCAUGAGGGGUACCGCGCGAGCAUAAUUGCGAGUGAUGUGGAGACGAGUUGACUUGGAGGGUACACGAGAGUUGAAUAUGAGGCGUGGCCGGGCAUUCUUAUCCCUUGCCGCAAGUCCUGGAGACGGGGCGAUGGGGUCACAUCUUUCGUGAGUCUCUACUCGUGACCGCACUACCAACACACUAACGGUUUGGAUAUUUGAUCCGAGGGGCCUCUGGCCUGAUAGCACUAACCAUCAUGUGGGCAUAGUAUGGGCGUUAUGCAUCGUAUGCAUCAGCCGAAGCUUAAUAGACGUUAGUGACUGAGCGGCGCGCGCCAGGUUGGACUGGUAAGCACCUUCCUUUUUGAAGGAGGUAGCUAGGUCUGCUCACCGGCCGCGUACGCAACAUGCAGGAGUUCCCGGGGCGAUGGCCCAUGACCCCUGGGGGCAUAGGUUUAGUCCAGUGUGCUGACCUCUCUAUUAAGCCUAGGUCGGGUUGCGGCGUAUUGUUUGGCCGAGGCCGGGCAUGACCCAGGAAAGUGUGUCCGACCGGAGUUAAUCGAGCAUGGUGGGUAAGUUGGUGCACCCCUGCAGGGAAGAAAACAUCUAUCGAUAGCCUGUCCUACGGUAACGGACACUUGGAGUUGUAUCCCGAUCGAUACAACUAGACCAGGAUACUUGUGAUGAGAAUUGGAUUGUGAUGAGAAAUGGAUAAUACGGCUCUGGGAUUUCUUUCUCGCAGGGAGUCGAGAAAGGAUCUCUGGCCGAGGUUGAUAACACUACUACUACUUUACUUUAUGCUACUCUACUCCCUCCUGUUUGCUGCAAGAUGGUGGUUUCCAGAAGAUGCUAGUCUUCGAUAGGACUAGGCGUUCUCUCUAUUCUGUCAUUUCUGCAGCCCGGUCCACAUAUACAGCCUUCCUUUGAUAAUGUUGCAUAUGUAAUGUAGAUCCUUGCUUGUGAGUACUUUGGAUGAGUACUCACGGUUGCUUUGCUCUCCCUUUUCCCCCUUUCUUUUUCUUUCCGGUUGAUGCAACCAGAUGUCGGAGCCCAGGAGCCAGAUGCUACUGUCGGUGCCUACUACUACGUGGAGACCGCUGACGACCAGGAGUAGUUAGGAGGCUCCCAGGCAGGAGGCAUUGCCUUUUCGAUCGUAGAUGCUUUUGUGCUGGCCUUCUUGAGGCAAACUUGUCUAACUCAUGUCUGUACUCAGAUAUUGUUGCUUCCGCUGACUCUUGUGUAUUCGAGCUUAUGUAUUCGAGCCCUCGAGGCCCCUGGCUUGUAAUAUAAAGCUUGUAUUAUUUUAAUUUGUGUCUAGAGUUGUGUUGUGAUAUCUUCCCGUGAGUCCCUGAUCUUGAUCGUACACAUUUGCGUGUAUGAUUAGUGUACGAUUAAAUCGGGGGCAUCACAAGUUGGUAUCAGAGCCGACUGCCAGUAGGUAGCCCCCUUUCCAACUCCUUGGCCGAAGUUGAGUCUAGUAAUUGAAAAACUUUUACUAACAUGGUUGUGUGGCUUACGGGCCCACGUCGCCAUUGGGUGGUACUAGGAUCCUUUACUCCUCAUCUAUACUCUUGGAUUCUGAUCUCUCUUCUAUUCGAGUUAAACAUUUUACUAACACUAACAUUAGGUUCUCGUAAACACUUCCUCCCGGAGAGCCCCGACAUUACCGAUGAUCGCUUGCUUUGCUAGAAGAUUCUACAGAUACUCCUCGAUGUUUCUCGAGACCCUGUUCCCAUUGCAUUGCAGUUCCUGACCACAGAUAAUCCCCGUGAAUAACAUCCUUGCCGCUUGUACCUUCAUACCCAGUUGAUCCCAUCAUUACAAGAUGUACUCUCCGUUGUUCCGAGAAUCCUUUGUGCCUUCUACUUUGCGGCUUCUUUUUGCACUACAGAUAAUUCACUAAACCCGUUCAUCCCCAGUUGUUCAUAUGCUUUCCAAAAUACUUGGAAAUACUAUCUGAUCUUCCAAAAAUCCUCUACAGCCUAUUACUCUUGAUUCUUCUUGCCUACUUGCAUUAUGGAUAAUCCCAUAAGUCUAGUAAUCUUAUUGGCAUCCUUUGUCACUAUCCUUUUGAGUCUGUUGAUUCAAUAUGUUACGGAUGCUCGCAAUCCUCGGUCGGAUCAUAGAAUUCAUCCUUCCGGCUUGGACGUCAUUUGACCAAGAGUUGUUUCUCGACCAAUCAAAUUGCCGUCAAUUGUAUCCCUAGGGCUAUUCAGCUUACUUAUCUUUUGAUCUGAGCGUCUGCUUCUGAUCUUCUAUUUUUGAAAUCAUGAUUUAUUUGCAUUUAAGCAUCGAAUUAUUCAGAUGUUUCUAUAAUCCGAAGCCUUUCCAUUCUUUCUUCUUCUGAUUGAGUACCGAUACUCACAUCAGAUCCUAUAUGGACCGCCAGACCCUUUGUUGGAUUUUAUCUGACAACGUCCUUCAUACUCAAUAACCUUUUGGAGCCUUUCCUCGGAUACAUAUUGCCUUUGGUAAAUUGUAUCCUCUGCCUUCUCAACCAUGCUCUGCCUUCGAGCUUGUGUUAUUUUACUCAUGGGGUUUGUGGUAUAUGUUCCCAAGAUGCCCUAUGGGUUGAACCUAUGCCUCCCAUAAUCCAUUUGAACCCGAGAGUUUUAACGAGUCUUGCUCUUCUGGUGUUUUGCCAGGUAACAUUUCAACACCACAACUUCAUCAAAAGCGAGAAGUAAAUGAAAUGAUAUGCAUUUAAGAAAUGGGAGUCGACCUUGAAGUUUGUGUUCAUGACCAUAGACACAAUGUAGAUCUUAUCAUGGAAGCUUCUCUUAUAAUAAAAUGUUCCCUUGGUAUAAGCUCAUCUUGCAUCCUUAAAUUGAUUCUUUGCAAUCGUGGUUUCGACCAUAUUUUCUCCUUGAUUCCAUUCCCGGACAAGUUAAAAACUUGUCUUCUGCAGAUCAUUUCAUCUGUCGAACCUCUAUUUUGAUCUACCUCGUAUUGUCCCUUGUUAUCUCGAGGAUAUUGUGUCAUUGCACUACCUCUUGUGAAUUCUCAUUGGAAUGAUACUCCAUCACAUCAUUCCUAUCUGAUCGGCUAUAUUUUUAUUGUGUCAACUUUUAACUGUGCUACCUGGUCCUUAUGCCCGGAGCAACUUCCAACGAUGAGCUAAGCUUACGUCAAUCUUCCUCAUCUUAUCAUUUCACCUCAAACAGCAAGCUUGACUUUGAGCUUGUGUCGAAUUCGUGGUUCUCAUAGCCUUUCACUUCAUGCUUCCUUUUCUGCUCGAUGGCAUCUUCAUUGAGUCUCUCGACAAAAUUUGUCGUGAUCACCGUCAACACUAUGGCUUCUUCAGAGAUGUCAAUUGAAUUCAUGGCUAGAAAUACCAUCCUUGCAACUCGAUGAUUUGUGUCAGCAUCGACAACAUUCUUGUCUCCCCCCCCAACACAAACUUGAUCAUAUUAAUUUUGGGAAUACAUCCUUUUUGACAUGUCGAUGGAUUGCUACUGAACCCAUCGGCCACCUCCUCAUCUUUUCCCUGAUAAAAUAGCAUGAUAUGUUCUAAAAAUUUCGAUGUAUCCUUUUGUGUUCCCAAGGUCCGACCUUUACGUAAUGACCAUGUCAAUGUUAUACCAAAGCAUGAUUGUGGUACUCCGAACCUCUUUAAAACCAUUUAGAGGCGCAAUGCUAAAUGUUUCUUGAUCACUAUCCAAACACUGUUGUAUGGGUAACGUCAUGAAUUUCCUCUCCCCUUUACCUAAAAGGUAAUCUACUACCUUUUCAUGGAUGUCAUCCUCUGCUUGUCCUUGGGAAUAAUAUACUCCCGAUAUUUGUGUUUAAACACAUUUUCCUUUCCAUGGUCUGAUUAAAUUAAUAAUCACCUUUUCAUUUCCAUUGUUUUGUUUAAACCUUUCUUGUGAUCUAUAUGAUCUAAGCAGUAAUAUCCUUCUGCUUAAAUAAACAUCUUGGUGUGCAACUCUUACAGUGAAACCCUAUUACUAUUGUUGUUGAUUAUUCUGGUAACCACCGAUGGACGAGAACUUUGCCUAAUGGUCCGCCUCGUGCCAAUGAGCAGGAAAAUAGUUCUCUUCAUCCCUCGCCCUUGGUACCAACGUUGAUGCCAACAUAACUGACAGGCUAUCCUAUGACAUGCCUUGCUAUCAUAUCCGUGCAAGAUGUCGCCGCUUUUCCUACUCUGAACACACAAGGGGGCCCAUAACCCACAGUUCCAACGGAUCGAAACCUGACUCUCCUGCACAACCUUGAUUCUGAAAUAUUCUUUGCACUUGGCUUCGUAUGUAAAUCAAGAGCCACCAUGAUUCAUUCUGGUAUCAGAGGCAACAUUAUGCCUCAUUGCUUUGAACCCCUUCUUCACCUGUUAUAGGCAUUAGUUUGAUACCUACCUGGUUGAAACUUGUUGAACCUCCUUAUAGCACUCUCGAUUUGUUUCUUGGUGCUUCUAAAAUCUCCUUCCUUGAGAUAAUUACCAGAUGCCAAUCCUUUCAAACAUCUGCCCUUAUGUUUUUUUCUUUAUACUCUAUUCGUAAGUAACCUAUUUGUAAGUAUGGUGGAGUUUCUGAAGAAAGGUUGAUGACUGCAUCAUGAUGCCCUGAUGCAGUAAAUUGAAGACAUCAACGAAAGGGAUCAACUUCUUCUAGAAGAGCAAACAAGAGUGAGGAGAUCCGUUAGAAUUUCGUAACCAGAACUACCCCCUUACUCCACAUCUUAAAUCUCGGGACGAGAUUUCUAGUAGUGGAGGAGAUUUAUAACACCCCCAGUAUCAUGCUACAGUGAUCUCAUGCCUAAUGAUGCCAUGUCAUCAUAAUUAUUAUUUUUUGCUAAUUCUCACCUUGUUCCAAACCAAAGUCAUUUUCAAACUCAAAUUCUAAGUCAAAGAUUAGAACUUCUCAAACAUGAAAAAUAAAAUGUUCAAAGUGUUGCAAAUAUUCCAUAAUUAGUUAUGGCGGUGAGCCAACAUUUUUGUAUAGUCUUUAAUUGCUCCUAAGUAUAUUUAUCAUUGGCUAAAAACAAUAAUUAAAUGCCUGUUAUAAAUUAUAAAAUAUUAAACUAAAUUUUUUAGGUGUCAGACUUUUUGUGACAGUGCUCAAUAUUUCCUAGUAUUUGUUUUGUCUAGGUCCACAUUUUUGCAAAGUCAUUUGGUGGCUUAUUUAAAUGCAAAAUGAAGCCUAUUAAAAGAAAACAGAAUAAUAGAAAGAAAACUAAAAAAAAGGAAGGAGAGAGCACGUGCCCCCAUUGGGCCUCACCCAAGUCGGCCCACCUAACCCCCGGUCAUCUUCUUCUGUUCACGACCGUGCCCGAACAGGGGCGCGUCACCGUCGAACCACCUCGCCGGCCAUGCCGCGGGAGGAUAAGGCCUCCACCGAGGCGCCCCUCCCCGCAGAUAUUUUCUUCCCACUCGCCUCACUCCUCCUCGGUGCCCUCCCUCCCAGAUCCACCUCUCCCCCUCUGCCGAUCUGGAGGAAGGGCCGAACGCCAUGGUCGCCGCACCUUCCUCGCUGCCAUGGCCAUUGUCCUCCUCUGGUCGCGCCACCGUGCAAUCCACUCCGUCGGCCACCUCUGCGUCGACUACGGCGGCCAUCUCGAGCUGGGAGGCACUACUGCGCCGGAUCCUCGUCGUCUUCAACCUCAAGCACCCACGGUAGCCGCUGCAAUCUUCGUCGAUUCGCGACCACGAGCGCCUCCCCGAGCAAGUUGAACUCCUCUACGUGAUCCCUGUGAGCUCCCCUUCACUUCCCCCUUGAUCCCCUUCUUGCGGGCUUCCUCUAGCCAUAGACAUCCUCCGGCCGAAGCUCGUCGUCCGCCAUGGCCGGAUCCCCGCUCCUCACGCGUGCUCGCCCGCUGCUGCCGCACGUCCGUCGCGCCCAGGGCCUGUCCCGGCGUGCCCACGCCUCGCUGGCCGCAUGCUGGCUCGCCCGACCGCGCUGCAGCCUCCCGCGCCGCAGCCGCCCGCGACCCUGUCGCUGCUCUGCUGCUCUUUGUACUGCUGCUGCUCUUGCAUACUGCCCUGUCCUUGCCACCGCUCACUCCUGCUCCUUGUGCUGCUCUACUACUAGCCGCUGCCACUGCGUAGUGCAGCUAGCUACUGCCGCUUCCACUGCAGAAUUGCUGCUGCCGCUCUUGUCCAUGGCCGCUAGGCCCCUGUAUGUGUGUGUGUAUGGCCGGUUGGGUCUCUGGAUGAGACCAGCCCUUUUUAGGUUAGUAGCUAAUUGUAGUAGUUAGGCUAAUUAGUGGUUAGGUGUAGUAUACAUGACAUGUGGA